rnacentral:rRNA from 1 species
UACGGAGGGGGCGAGUGUUGUUCGGAAUUACUGGGCGUAAAGGGCGCGCAGGCGGAUGUGUCAGUCAGGGGUGAAAUCCCGGAGCUCAACUUCGGAACUGCCUUUGAUACAGCACGUCUUGAGUCCGAUAGAGGUGGGUGGAAUUCCUAGUGUAGAGGUGAAAUUCGUAGAUAUUAGGAAGAACACCGGUGGCGAAGGCGGCCCACUGGAUCGGUACUGACGCUGAGGUGCGAAAGCGUGGGGAGCAAACAGG